UAGUACACGCGAGUCUGCAUGCAACAGCUCAAAUUUGAAAUCUGGCUCCUUUGGGAGUCCGAGUUGUAAUUUGCAGAGGGUGCUUUGGCAUAGGCGGCGGUCUAAGUUCCUUGGAACAGGACAUCGCAGAGGGUGAGAAUCCCGUACGUGGGCGCCUGCCUUUGCCGUGUAAAGCCCCUUCGACGAGUCGAGUUGUUUGGGAAUGCAGCUCAAAAUGGGUGGUGAGUUCCAUCUAAAGCUAAAUAUUGGCGAGAGACCGAUAGCGAACAAGUACCGUGAGGGAAAGAUGAAAAGCACUUUGGAAAGAGAGUUAAACAGUACGUGAAAUUGUUGAAAGGGAAACGAUUGAAGUCAGUCGUGACUGAGAGGCUCAGCCGGUUCUGCCGGUCUAUUCCCCUCAGUCGGGUCAACAUCAGUUUUGUCCGGUGGAUAAGGGCAGCAGGAAGGUGGCACCCUCGGGUGUGUUAUAGCCUGUUGUCGCAUACAUCGGAUGAGACUGAGGAAUGCAGCUCGCCUUUAUGGCCGGGGCCCGCCCACGUCCGAGCUUAGGAUGUUGACAUAAUGGCUUUAAACGACCCGUCUUGA
rnacentral:rRNA from 1 species